CAACAAUACAGCAGCGAGGUGCUUCCAUUUUUGAAAUGCAGACAUUACACGAACAUCUCUGUAGAACAGAUGAAGGACCACACACUAAACAUUUACACAGUGAAGGAGACCUACGACCAAGAACAAACAAUGCAAAAUGAUUUUUAGCAAAGUAGAAUGGAUGUACUGCAGGGCUUCCAUUACAACACCACAGAAGUUUCUGCCCUGCCACCGAUUGCUGACAUGCAAGACGGCCAGUUCAAAGGAAACGGCGCUAUCUUGCCAUCUUAUCUCCAGAGCCUUCUUUCAACAGACAGUUAAAAGAAUUCACAUGUACCUAUCAAUAAAAAUGCCUAUGAGUGGUCCAAAUGUA